CAGGGAGAAAGAGGAGAAGGGUUAUAAACAGGAGAUGUUGGUAGUAGUGAGAGUCUUAGGGAGACCAUCUGAACAGCAAUUGAUUUCCAGGAGCAGAAAACUAGGGGUGGAAAUAGGCUCUAAAAUCCUAACCCUGGAAGCAGGGACAACCUCAGAAGAGUUGUAGGGAAAGAAGUCUUGAGAUGGUAGGGUACGAAGAGGCCCAGGGAAAUAGCAUAAAGAUAAGCCACAAUUGUGUUUUGGGAUGGGAGGAUACUUUCAGUGGCCAGAGAUCAAGGACUGGCUGGGGUCAGGGAUAUUGAUUUUCAACAUCCUGCUGCAGAAGCUACAAGAGUGGCUGUGGCAUUGAUGAAAUUCCCUUCUCAAGCUGGGCCUUGGAGGUCUGGCUGUUGUGGGAGCCCGGGGAUGCCGGCUAGUAGUGGUUAGUUUCUUUGCCCAUCUGCUCCUAUCUACUGAGAUAACUAAAACUUUUGACGAACACUCUACUCAAGAAAGGCUCCUGUUGCAGGCCCUAUGCAGUCUAGUGACAAGUCUGUACCCCUUCUGAAAUGUACAAAGCUUCCCCAGCUGCCCUUCUCCAUAGGGCCAAAUGCUCUGUACAUAGUAUUAUGGGAUGUGGCUGUAGCAGGAGGUGGAGAAGAGCGGGGUUAGCAGCUGAGAGGGCUGUGGCUGUAGUGUGGUGAAAUAAAUGAGCUCCAGGUGUUCAGCACCUUCAGGAAUUGGCCCUGCCUGAACAAGGACUGACUGAAACCAAGGAGGCCUUUGGGAUUUGCCCUAUUAUGUUUAGUUUAUUGUAGCACUUUGGGAUCUGGCAUUUCAUUUGUUUGUUCUCUUCCUUGUUUGCCCGGAUUAAGCCAUGUUUCCCUGGCAGAAUAAAAAAACACUGCAUGUUCAGGGCCCUUUUCCAUUGGAAGAGAGAGCCAUGGGAAACUCUUCAUUACCAACAGGGAGCAAAUAUUUAGUUCUCACUAGGCCAGUUGGCAGGUGUGGAAUCCACUGUGACAUGCACAAGAAAGAUGCACUUGCAGACUGGUGAUGUAGGCUUUGGUUAAGGCAGCUCACGGAAAAGUGGCCCUAGUUUAUUCUAUCCCCUGCCCCCCUUUAACAUUAUGAGUUUUAUUUUCCUCCCUAAUAACCAGUCACAGUGAGUGGGGCUCCACAGAGCAGCACGGCUCAUAAGUGCAUUCUUUUGCAAGCCAAGAUUAGCCUUUACUGCUUCUGAAUCUCUCCCUGUAGAUGGUGACUAUCAUUCAGAAGGACAUUCUGUCCUGGCUUCAGUAAGGGGAGAGGUGGGCUUUAUUGUUAAGAGAUCACCGUCAAUCAAAGGUGCAGGAUGAUCGUAUGUUGUGGGAAUGCAUGCCUAGCAUCCACAACAGACCUUUUGUCAGACUAACUUUGUUAUGAUCUCCCCCUUUUCCGGGGCUGUUUGGUUGUGGUUUUUGGCUCACAGCUUCUCCAGAGAAGUGAGUGAUGGAGAGGAUUCCAGAGCCACAUCCAAAAGUCCCCACAAGGAUCUUCUAAAAGGCAGCCUGUAACAGCCUUCUUGUGAAAGGCCAGGAGGACAGGCUGCACUCUGCAUCAUAUUGCUCCAAACACUUAACCAUGUGAACAUCCAGAGCCAUAACAAAACUGCCAUUUCCAUGAUUGCUUUCUGAACUGGUUUGGUCACAUGCUAAAAUGAAAAGGAUGGACAGGGAGUGGGGAAAUAAACCCCACACAACAGCCUCUAGUGGUACAGUUCUCAGCACAGAAGCUCCACCUUUGCAGACAAACUUACUGCAACAGACUGUCUCUAAUUACAGACUGGAAAUAGAAUCUGGGAAACAUGAGGCCUGGUAGAAAUCCAAGGACACUGUAACACGAGAGGAGAGCUUGAAAUUGUGAUCCCUUUUCAUCUUCACUGUCCAACCACAAAGGGGGCAGAUGAGAAGUGACUACUGAGCAAUCACAAAUACAAACAGACUUCUCACUGAAAAGUCAAGAAGAAAACGUCUAGCUUUGGGAGUGAAGAGAGACUUUGGAACUGCCCUCCCAAUAUGUGACUGCCUUCUGAUGAACCAGAAAUGGCUAAUACUACAAGAUGGACACACUCAGGAACUCCCCAUGGAAAUCAUGGCACCUGUUCCUUCGUUACGAUACUGGCUGGCACCACUUGUAUGCUUUAUGCCAAUAAAACUUAAAUUGUA